rnacentral:rRNA from 1 species
UGGAACGCGCCCCAGGCGCACCCAGAAACCCUUUGUGAACUUAUACCUUACUGUUGCCUCGGCGCAUGCCGGCCCCCAGGGGCCCCUCGGAGACGAGGAGCAGGCACGCCGGCGGCCAAGUUAACUCUUGUUUUUACACUGAAACUCUGAGAAAAAAAAACAAAAUGAAUCAAAACUUUCAACAACGGAUCUCUUGGUUCUGGCAUCGAUGAAGAACGCAGCGAAAUGCGAUAAGUAAUGUGAAUUGCAGAAUUCAGUGAAUCAUCGAAUCUUUGAACGCACAUUGCGCCCUCCGGUAUUCCGGAGGGCAUGCCUGUUCGAGCGUCAUUUCAACCCUCAAGCACUGCUUGGUGUUGGGGCACUGCCUUUUCCGGAAGGCAGGCCCUGAAAUUCAGUGGCGAGCUCGCCAGGACCCCGAGCGCAGUAGUUAAACCCUCGCUUUGGAAGGCCCUGGCGGUGCCCUGCCGUUAAACCCCCAACUCUUGAAAAUUUGACCUCGGAUCAGGUAGGAAUACCCGCUGAACUUAAGCAUAUCAAUAAGCGG